CCUACGGGUGGCAGCAGUGAGGAAUAUUGGUCAAUGGGCGCGAGCCUGAACCAGCCAAGUAGCGUGAAGGAUGACGGCCCUACGGGUUGUAAACUGCUUUUAUAAAGGAAUAAAGUGAGGCACGUGUGCCGUUUUGUAUGGACGUUAUGAAUAAGGAUAGGCUAACUCCGUGCCAGCAGCCGCGGUAAUACGGAGGAUCCGAGCGUUAUGCGGAUUUAUUGGGUUUAAAGGGAGCGUAGAGGGGUUGUUAAGUCAGUUGUGAAAGGUUGCGGCUCAACCGUAAAAUUGCAAGUGUUACUGGCAGUCUUGCGUACAGUUGCGGUAGGCGGAAUUCGUGGUGUAGCGG
rnacentral:rRNA from 1 species